AUCGAUAACAUUAUUUAGUUCUGAAGGUACAAAGAAGAUUGUACUUGACAAAGCGAGCAGGAAUGUAAUAGUAUAUGCAAGCGGUACAGAAGAAAGAAAAGGAAAUGUUAAAAACUCUUCAAGGAGAGAAGAAGCUUGUUGAAGAGAUACAAAUUUCCGGUGGAAAUGACGAGAUGGACACACCCGUUCCCAUACCGAACACGGAAGUUAAGCAUCUCAGUGCUGAUAAUACUUGGCUGGUGACGGCCCGGGAAAGUAAGUCUCUGCCGGAA
rnacentral:rRNA from 1 species